GGGGUGACUAGUGACAGAGUGAGGGAAGGGGUGACUAGUGGCAGAGUGAGGGAAGGAAGGGGUGACUAGUGACAGACUGAGGGAGGUGGUGACUGUCACUAGUCACCACCUCCCUCACUCUGUUACUAGUCACCACCUCCCUCUGUCACUACUCCCUCCCACCUUCUGUCACUAGUCACCCCCUCUGUCCCUUACUCUGUCACUAGUCACCCCUCCCUCACUCUGUCACCAGUCAUCCCC